rnacentral:rRNA from 1 species
GACGAACGCUGGCGGCGUGCUUAACACAUGCAAGUCGAACGGAGAAGGAGAGCUUGCUCUCCCUAUCAGUGGCGAACGGGUGAGUAACACGUGGGCAACCUGCCCCCAGACUCUGGGAUAACACUUCGAAAGAGGUGCUAAUACCGGAUAUUCGACGAGGUAGUCAUCUACUUCGCCGGAAAGAAUUUCGGUCUGGGAUGGGCCCGCGGCCUAUCAGCUUGUUGGUGAGGUAAUGGCUCACCAAGGCGACGACGGGUAGCCGGCCUGAGAGGGUGACCGGCCACACUGGAACUGAGACACGGUCCAGACUCCUACGGGAGGCAGCAGUGGGGAAUAUUGCACAAUGGGCGAAAGCCUGAUGCAGCAACGCCGCGUGAGGGAUGAAGGCC